UACGGAGGGGGCUAGCGUUGUUCGGAAUUACUGGGCGUAAAGGGCGCGUAGGCGGCGCGAUAAGUUGGGCGUGAAAGGCCCGGGCUCAACCCGGGGACUGCGCUUGAUACUGUCGCGCUGUGAGUCCGGGAGAGGAUGGCGGAAUUCCCAGUGUAGAGGUGAAAUUCGUAGAUAUUGGGAAGAACACCAGCGGCGAAGGCGGCUAUCUGGACCACAACUGACGCUGAGGCGCGAAAGCGUGGGGAGCAAACAGG
rnacentral:rRNA from 1 species